AAAAAACUCAAAGCUCUCUGAAUUUCCCGAAUCAAAAAAUGCAACAAGGCGAUUACACCACCUCCAAUCCCUAUUACAAUUACCCUAACUCCGGCCAUAUCUCGCCGGCUCCGAUCCCAAACCCCACCCCUUCACCACCGUCAUACGCUUCUGCUCCGCCGUUCGCCGCCACUUACCCUCCAUCUUCAGAUUACUCAUCAUAUCCCUCUUCUUACCCGAAUCAUUAUACUCAAAAUCCUGAUUUACUCUCCACUGCUCCAGCACCUCCGUUACAGUCCUACAAUCCUCCACCAUCGGCGCAGGUUCCGGUUCCGGCGUUGCAACAGCCUCAGCACUCCUCUCCGUUUCCUUCGUUUGAAUCCCACGGAGCUUAUCAAAAUCCAGUUCAUUCUCAGCCUCAACAACCUUAUUAUCCUCCUUACGAUCAACCCCAGGCUGCUCCUAGUUACAAUCAUAGUACCACUCCGAAUUCUUCGUAUCCUUCAGUUUAUUCAACUCCGAAUUAUGAUAAUACUGGGAAGUUUGAUCAAAGUGGACAGUAUUUUGAUGAACCUGUGGAUAAGUAUGGGAAUUAUGGUUCGGGGAGAGGUGAAUUUGGGCAAGAUACUUAUGGGAAACGAGCUGAAAGUGGAUAUGGUAAUGAUGGUUAUGGCGAUGGGGUGUUUGCUUAUCAGGGUAGUAAAGUAGAGCCUUAUGGGGCACGAGGGACUGGUUCAAAGUCUUCGACUUGGUCGUCUAGUUUUGAUGAUUUUGGGAGGCCAAUUGGGUAUAAUUCUCCGAAAGAACGUUCAUCAGCUCCAACUGCAAAGAUCGUCAAGGCAAUUCCCAAGGUUGAUACGCAGCAGGAUGCGAAAAGUGGUGUUCAGAAGUUUAGGGUGAAGUUAUUAGCUGAAAGUGGUGGACAGAGUACCCAGGAUGUUCUUUGCCAGAUUGGCUUGGAUGGAAUCCGCAUGUUGGACCCAAGUACUAGCCGGAUGUUAAGAAUUUAUCCUCUUGACACAGUAACUAGACUUGAGGCGACGGAUUCAUCUACCUUUGCCUUCUGGUCAAAAAGUGCAGUGGAUAUAGAACCAAGGCGUAUCAGACUGCAGUCGAACAGUUACACAACCAGUUCCCUGUUAGAUACAGUCACGGCUGCAGUUGUACAGUUCAAGGAGAUGGGUGGAAGAAUAAUGUCUUCUGAAUCUCCAAAGGUGGCAGAACAGCCUACUGAGAAGAAGAAAGGUCUUACUGAUUGGAUUAAUAUAGUGAAGACCGUCAAUGAGGAGAAAGAUCACUGGGUUCCUGAUGAAGCAGUUUCCAAGUGCACAGCUUGUGGAUCAGCCUUCAAUGCUUUUGUGCGCAGGCAUCACUGUCGGAAUUGUGGAGAUAUUUUCUGUGACAAAUGCACUCAGGGAAGAACUGCACUGACAGCUGAUGAGAAUGCACCAGUUGUUAGAGUUUGUGACCGAUGUACGGCUGAGGUUUCUCGUCGGCUAAGCAGCGCGAAGGAAACUGUCAAUAGAUCAACUGGAUUGCAAAGUCAUGAAGACCUUGCCAAGAAGCUUCAGGAGGAGAUGGAGAGAAACCGGAAAGGAUCAUCUGGCUCUAGACAAGAUCGUUCGGGGAGGAUGAAAGAGGUUGCUUGCCCUACUUGUACAGUACAUUUGCAGGUUCAAGUUCCGAGCUCAGGUUCCGAGACUAUAGAAUGUGGGGUUUGCCAGAAUCCAUUCCUCGUUAGUUCGCACUGAUUUUGAUGUUUUCCGUCAAUGGAAGGAAAGACUGCCAACUCUUUUCUGGUUUUUGUGUGUUGUCAUACAUUGUUUUGUGCAUCUGUUAAUAUUUGAACCGUUGCCUUUGGUUGGUUGCUUGAUCCUUGUUUCCUGGCAAGGCAAUUUGCUCAUUUGAUUUGUAUUAGCAGGAAGAAAUCUAACACUUUUUUUUUCUUUACAUGGAGAAAAUAUAAGUGAAUUUGAUUCCAG
rnacentral:misc_RNA from 1 species